AAUUACAAUUUGUUGUUGUUUUUUUUCGCCGCCGCAGAGUAAGCACGUCGGUAACGGAAAUUCUCGUCAAAGUUUUUCGCGCUCUACGUUUUAACGGCGCCCGGUCGUCGUCGCCGUCGCUGCCAACGUUGUCAAGCGCAGCGGCGUCGCAUCAAGAAAAAACCUGAGAAUAGUGUUACCCAUAAAAGAGAGAAGACUGCACCACCGUGCUGCCUUAAGUGUCGCGCAAUAACGGCAACAGACGGAAGAAA